ensembl:snRNA U6 U6 spliceosomal RNA
GUGCUCACUUCAGCAGCACGUAUACUAAAGUUAAAAUGAUGCAGAGAAGAUUCGAAUGGCACCUGUGCAAGGAUGACUCACAAAUUCGUGAAGCGUUCCAUAGUUUU